rnacentral:rRNA from 2 species
AGAACGCUGAAGAGAGGAGCUUGCUCUUCUUGGAUGAGUUGCGAACGGGUGAGUAACGCGUAGGUAACCUGCCUUGUAGCGGGGGAUAACUAUUGGAAACGAUAGCUAAUACCGCAUAACAAUGGAUGACACAUGUCAUUUAUUUGAAAGGGGCAAUUGCUCCACUACAAGAUGGACCUGCGUUGUAUUAGCUAGUAGGUGAGGUAACGGCUCACCUAGGCGACGAUACAUAGCCGACCUGAGAGGGUGAUCGGCCACACUGGGACUGAGACACGGCCCAGACUCCUACGGGAGGCAGCAGUAGGGAAUCUUCGGCAAUGGGGGCAACCCUGACCGAGCAACGCCGCGUGAGUGAAGAAGGUUUUCGGAUCGUAAAGCUCUGUUGUAAGUCAAGAACGAGUGUGAGAGUGGAAAGUUCACACUGUGACGGUAGCUUACCAGAAAGGGACGGCUAACUACGUGCCAGCAGCCGCGGUAAUACGUAGGUCCCGAGCGUUGUCCGGAUUUAUUGGGCGUAAAGCGAGCGCAGGCGGUUUGAUAAGUCUGAAGUUAAAGGCUGUGGCUCAACCAUAGUUCGCUUUGGAAACUGUCAAACUUGAGUGCAGAAGGGGAGAGUGGAAUUCCAUGUGUAGCGGUGAAAUGCGUAGAUAUAUGGAGGAACACCGGUGGCGAAAGCGGCUCUCUGGUCUGUAACUGACGCUGAGGCUCGAAAGCGUGGGGAGCGAACAGGAUUAGAUACCCUGGUAGUCCACGCCGUAAACGAUGAGUGCUAGGUGUUGGAUCCUUUCCGGGAUUCAGUGCCGCAGCUAACGCAUUAAGCACUCCGCCUGGGGAGUACGACCGCAAGGUUGAAACUCAAAGGAAUUGACGGGGGCCCGCACAAGCGGUGGAGCAUGUGGUUUAAUUCGAAGCAACGCGAAGAACCUUACCAGGUCUUGACAUCCCGAUGCUAUUUCUAGAGAUAGAAAGUUACUUCGGUACAUCGGUGACAGGUGGUGCAUGGUUGUCGUCAGCUCGUGUCGUGAGAUGUUGGGUUAAGUCCCGCAACGAGCGCAACCCCUAUUGUUAGUUGCCAUCAUUCAGUUGGGCACUCUAGCGAGACUGCCGGUAAUAAACCGGAGGAAGGUGGGGAUGACGUCAAAUCAUCAUGCCCCUUAUGACCUGGGCUACACACGUGCUACAAUGGUUGGUACAACGAGUUGCGAGUCGGUGACGGCAAGCUAAUCUCUUAAAGCCAAUCUCAGUUCGGAUUGUAGGCUGCAACUCGCCUACAUGAAGUCGGAAUCGCUAGUAAUCGCGGAUCAGCACGCCGCGGUGAAUACGUUCCCGGGCCUUGUACACACCGCCCGUCACACCACGAGAGUUUGUAACACCCGAAGUCGGUGAGGUAACCUU